rnacentral:rRNA from 1 species
GCCCAGCCGUAACAAAACAAUCAAAUAACUAAUUGUUCGCCAAAUAACUACGAGUAAAAACUUAAAAUUUAAAAGACUUGACGGUGCUUCACACCAACCUAGAGGAGCCUGUCCAAUAACCGAUAAUCCACGAUUAACCCAACCCGUUCUAGCCUAACAGUCUAUAUACCGCCGUCGCCAGCUUACCUUGUGAAAGAAACAAAGUAAGCCCAAUAACACUACAUUAAUACGACGAGGUCGAGGUGUAACUAAUGAAUGGGCAAAGAUGGGCUACAUUUUCUAACUCAGAAAAUACGAACAAACUAUGAAACUAGAAACUGAAGGCGGAUUUAGCAGUAAGCUAAGAACAGAAUGCUCAGCCGAAAUUAACGCAAUGAAGUGCGCACACACCGCCCGUCAUCCCUGUAAUAAAGUAUAAAACAUCCAUAAAGACACUAUUAACUCCAAGCAGGGCAAGUCGUAACAUGGUAAGCGUACUGGAAAGUGCGCUUAGAAACAAAAAGUAGCUUACACUAAAGCACUCGACUUACAAUCGAACGAUAUUAAACAAUAAUCUUUUUGAGCUGAGACGUAACAACAGAUACAAGUAUCCAUAACCAAUAAAACAAACCAUUUGACCCA